rnacentral:rRNA from 1 species
AGUGGCGGACGGGUGAGUAACGCGUGAGAAUCUGCCUUGGGGUCGGGGACAACCACUGGAAACGGUGGCUAAUACCGGAUAAGCCGAUUGGUGAAAGAUUUAUUGCCCGAAGAGGAGCUCGCGUCUGAUUAGCUAGUUGGUGAGGUAAGAGCUCACCAAGGCAGCGAUCAGUAGCUGGUCUGAGAGGACGAUCAGCCACACUGGGACUGAGACACGGCCCAGACUCCUACGGGAGGCAGCAGUGGGGAAUUUUCCGCAAUGGGCGAAAGCCUGACGGAGCAAGACCGCGUGAGGGAGGAAGGCUCUUGGGUUGUAAACCUCUUUUCUCAGGGAAGAAGCUCUGACGGUACCUGAGGAAUCAGCCUCGGCUAACUCCGUGCCAGCAGCCGCGGUAAUACGGAGGAGGCAAGCGUUAUCCGGAAUUAUUGGGCGUAAAGCGUCCGCAGGUGGCGAUUCAAGUCUGCUGUCAAAGCACGGGGCUUAACUCCGUAAAGGCAGUGGAAACUGAAUAGCUAGAGUGCCGUAGGGGUAGAGGGAAUUCCCGUGUAGCGGUGAAAUGCGUAGAGAUCGGGAAGAACAUCGGUGGCGAAAGCGCUCUACUGGACGGCAACUGACACUCAGGGACGAAAGCUAGGGGAGCGAAUGGGAUUAGAUACCCC